GUGCUCACUUUGGCAGUACAAACACUAAUAUUGGAACGAUAACAGAGAAGAUGAGCUUGGCCCUUGUGCAGGGAUGACAGGCAAAUUUGUGAAUCAUUCCAUACUUUU
ensembl:snRNA U6 U6 spliceosomal RNA